AUUGGGUAGGGGAGCGUUCUGUAAGCGGUUGAAGGUGUGUGGUAACGCAUGCUGGACGUAUCAGAAGUGCGAAUGCUGACAUGAGUAACGAUAAAGGGGGUGAAAAACCUCCUCGCCGGAAGACCAAGGGUUCCUGUCCAACGUUAAUCGGGGCAGGGUAAGUCGACCCCUAAGGCGAGGCCGAAAGGCGUAGUCGAUGGGAAACGGGUUAAUAUUCCCGUACUUCUUACAAUUGCGAUGGGGGGACGGAGAAGGCUAGGUGGGCCUGGCGACGGUUGUCCAGGUUCAAGUGCGUAGGCUUAAGAGUUAGGUAAAUCCGGCUCUUUUUAAGGCUGAGACACGACGUCGAGCA
rnacentral:rRNA from 1 species